rnacentral:rRNA from 1 species
GAGGAAUGUAUAGCAAUAGCUACUUGCAUCUUUGUAUAGAUCAUGCAAGGUUGACUAGGCGAAUAAAAUUCUAGGUAGAAUUAUGAUAAUGACAUUGUCUGCCUAUGUGUCUUGACCAAAUUACGUGCCAGCAGUCGCGGUAAUACGUAGAAGACUAGUGUUAUUCAUGUUUAAUCGGUUUAAAGGGUACCUAGACGGUAGAUCAAGCUUUCAAUAGAAUAAAUUAAAGGACUAAUUUACUAGAGUUACUUACGAGGGGGUAUUAAAGUACUGCUGGUGUAGAGAUGAAAUUCUGUCAUACCUCUUUUCGAAAGAAAAAUCAUGGCACAGGUAUAGGCGAAGGCAUCCCCUUAUGUGAUAACUGACGUUGAGGGACGAAGGCUUUGUGUAACAAACAGGAUUAGAUACCCUAGUAGUUGAAGCAGAAAAUGAUGAAUGUCAUAGAUUAGAUAUAUAAGUUUAUUCUAUAAAUGAAAGUGUAAGCAUUCCACCUCAUGAGUAAUUUGGCAACAUUGGAACUGAAAUCAUUAGACCGUUUCUGAAACCAGUAGUGAAGUAUGUUGUUUAAUUUGAUAACCCGCAAAAAACCUUACCACAAUUUGAAUAUUUAUAUUUUUUUUAUUGUUUUCUUCUUAAUUUUCUUCUAAUAACAUAUUCAACAUGUAAAAAGAAGAAAGUUAAUGCAGAGGCAAUAAUAUAUAUUUACCAGCGUUGCACGGCUGUCUUCAGUUAAUGUCGCGAGACUUUGGUUAGUUCCAUUAAAUUAACGUAAACCCUUGCUUUAUUUUUAGAUAGAGUAGUUCCCCGCUAUAUUGGAUAUGAUAACAGGGACUAAGACAAGUCAUCA